GAGCAAGUGAUGUAAACAUUUUAUACGGCUGAAUGUUUAUGAUGCAUUCAAAGGAACCACUGAUGCCA